AUAUUUGAUAUUCCACGGUUACAGGUUUACACAUCUCAUAUUUAGCAGCAAAAAGAAAAAAAUCACCGACGAACCAUCAUCUUUCUCUCUAGAGAAAUCCUGAACCGGUAACUCACGAAAAUUCACCGAACUACAAAACCGUUUUACUCUUUUCACCACAAUGAGUAUUGUGAGCAAAACAGAAAAACUUUACGGCGCGUGAGAGUCACGCUCAACACAAAUACAGAAAAUCCUCAUAUGAAAAGGUUGAGAACUUUCCGAUCACCACCGUGACUCCACCGAUCUCCAAUCCCAGUCUCCAAACACGCCGUCGUCGUCACCGAUUCCUCCGACGUCAUCGACGGCGAACCAUGCCGGCGUUCCUCCACCGCCUUCUGUUGAAAAAUCGGCGUCAAUCGUAAAUCAAGAUUAAUCGCCGCCGGAACCUUGACAAACUCCUCCGAUCUCCUCCGUUUGCUUCCAGAACACACCUUAUUGCUAGAUCGUGAGCUCGCCAACCCGAAAUUCGGUUCUCGGAUCUUCCACAUAGCAUCAGCACCACCGUCUUCCGCCUCAGAAGCUUCAUCGGUGGCAGUGAGAGGCGCGUCCAGAAGUGUCAGCUCCGGUAAAGGCCUUAGCGUGCCACCGCGAAGAACCGUCUCAACUGCUGCUUGACACACGUGCCAGUUUCCAGUCCAAAGAAGUCCAACAGCACCGUUCACAGGGUUAACCGUUCUCCCACACGCUUCAAACAGUAGAGACUGAAACAGAGCUGCAAAGAAAGAGCACACAAAAUAAGCAUUAUUAAUAUAUGUAUUCGAUAUAUUUAUUGACUCAACUUUCUCUUAUAUCUACGGCCCUGGGACCGGUUAAAUAAUUACCUGGUCUCUGUGGUUCAGGGACGUUGGAAAUGAAGGACAUGAGACCAGCCCGACCAAAGAAUUUUGCUACGAAAACAGUAGCGUGGCCUUGAGCUUCUGGAGUUUCGAUCCAUUGCAAACAAGGUCGUAAAAUACACGACUCACUGCAACCUUUUCGAAGAACUCGGCACCCAUUGCAACUCAUGUUUCUAUUUUGGUGUUACAAAAUCUCUCACACUCUCGCAUGAAAAUAGAAAGAAUAGUAUAUGUUAAUAGAAAGAGAAAACAGAGAGAAGGUGGUUUAGGAAUAAUGGAAUGGAGAAUGCGAAUUGAAGUGAAGUUGGGGUAUAAAUAAAUAAAGGGGAUGAAGGAGAAGAAGAGGGGGGUGUGGUUGGUAGUAAACUAUGGUUGAGUUAAGGUUAGUUGCAAGUGGGGAGAGAGACGUGAAGGAGCGUGAGUGUGUCGUGUGUAUUUGAUUUAGAGGGCAGUGACCUUUUUUGUUUGUAUGGGAGGGUGUGAGAUUCCAAUGUCUUGGGUGUGAGCGGCUCCGUGUUUCCGCGCAUGAAUGUUCCUCCACCGUUCGAUUAUUUUUUAUUAUUUAUUACUAUUAAUAUAUAAUUUUUUUUUAUAA
rnacentral:lncRNA from 1 species